GAUUGUUCUGCUGUACUAAGGCUGCAGAAUUCAUUGACUGCCAUGCACCUGCGAGCGAAACAGGUGCUUCACAAUAGCAGAGGUGCCUGCCCAAAUAUUCUGCACGGUAACUAUUUCAACAACAGCUCAAAAGUCAAUUUCGGUGCCAAAUAUAUGUCAAUGUUGCAAUGAUAACAUUUAAAAAAAUCUGGAUGUAAUACUGAAGCAUGUUCUAAGUCCAAGCAGUCCACCGCCUGCGCGAGAGGGUGACGGAUAUCAAUUACACCCAGGGGCCACGACAUUGGAGCCAAAUGCAAACAGCAAGCCCUUCAGGAAACAUGUUGUGCAGUCAGGAGCGUGAAAUGACACCAAGGAUGAAAAGCUGCAACAUCUUUACAGUUGUCAUGAAAGAGUCGAUGAAUUCAGGGAGGUGAAGCUCCAGGAGCAUGUUCAAUUUCACUGUUGCCAUUUGUAGGAAGACCUGUGUCUUUGCUUUUACUGUCACAAAGACAAGAGAUUCUGCAGAUGCUGGAAAUGCAGAGUAACACACACACACACAGAGUGCUGGAGGAACCCAGCAGAGGAGGAGCGAAUAGUCAACGUUUCAAGCUGAGACACUUCAUCAGGACUGGAAAGGAAGCGGGAAGAAGCCAGACUAAGUAGAAGGGUAUCCGUCAUUAAGGACCUCCAUCAGCCAG